AUUGAACGCUGGCGGCAGGCUUAACACAUGCAAGUCGAGCGGGGUGAUGGUGCUUGCACUAUCACUUAGCGGCGGACGGGUGAGUAAUGCUUAGGAAUCUGCCUAUUAGUGGGGGUCAACAUCUCGAAAGGGAUGCUAAUACCGCAUACGUCCUACGGGAGAAAGAAGGGGAUCACUUGUGACCUUGCGCUAAUAGAUGAGCCUAAGUCGGAUUAGCUAGUUGGUUGGGUAAAGGCCUACCAAGGCGACGAUCUGUAGCGGGUCUGAGAGGAUGAUCCGCCACACUGGGACUGAGACACGGCCCAGACUCCUACAGGAGGCAGCAGUGGGGAAUAUUGGACAAUGGGGGGAACCCUGAUCCAGCCAUGCCGCGUGUGUGAAGAAGGCCUUAUGGUUGUAAAGCACUUUAAGCGAGGAGGAGGCUCUUUUGGUUAAUACCCAAGAUGAGUGGACGUUACUCGCAGAAUAAGCACCGGCUAACUCUGUGCCAGCCGCCGCCGUAA
rnacentral:rRNA from 1 species